rnacentral:rRNA from 1 species
CCUACGGGAGGCAGCAGUCGGGAAUAUUGCCCAAUGGUCGCAAGACUGAGGCAGCAACGCCGCGUGCGCGAUGAAGGCCUUCGGGUCGUAAAGCGCUUUUCGGGUGGAUGAGGAAGGACAGUACACCCGGAAUAAGGAACGGCUAACUACGUGCCAGCAGCCGCGGUAAAACGUAGGUUCCGAGCGUUAUCCGGAUUUACUGGGCGUAAAGCGCGUUCAGGCGGUUUGGCAAGUCGGGCAUGAAAUCUCUCGGCUCAACCGGGGAGAGGUUGUCCGAUACUGCUGGACUUGAGGGCAGUAGAGGGUGGUGGAAUUCCGGGUGUAGUGGUGAAAUGCGUAGAUAUCCGGAGGAACACCAGUGGCGAAAGCGGCCACCUGGACUGUACCUGACGCUCAAACGCGAAAGCUAGGGGAGCGAACGGGAUUAGAAACCCCGGUAGUCCUAGCUAUAAACGAUGUUGACUAGGUGUCGACGGUCUAAACCCCGCCGGUGCCGGAGCAACGCAUUAAGUCAACCGCCUGGGGACUACGGCCGCAAGGUUAAAACCUCAAAGGAAUUGACGGCUGAGACGUGCGACGGACGACACGAGGGAGAGG